rnacentral:rRNA from 1 species
ACUCCUACGGGAGGCAGCAGUGGGGAAGUAUUGCACAAUGGGGGAAACCCUGAUGCAGCCAUGCCGCGUGUGUGAAGAAGGCCUUGGGUUGUAAAGCACUUUCAGUAGGGAGGAAGGUAGUGUAGUUAACACCUGCAUUAUUUGACGUUACCUACAGAAGAAGCACCGGCUAACUCCGUGCCAGCAGCCGCGGUAAUACGGAGGGUGCGAGCGUUAAUCGGAAUUACUGGGCGUAAAGCGCAUGCAGGCGGCCUGUUAAGUCAGAUGUGAAAGCCCGGGGUCUUAACCUCGGAAUUGCAUUUGAAACUGGCAGGCUAGAGUCUUGUAGAGGGGUUAGAAUUUCAGGUGUAGCGGUGAAAUGCGUAGAGAUCUGAAGGAAUACCAGUGGCGAAGGCGGCCCCUGGACAAAGACUGACGCUCAGAUGCGAAAGCGUGGGAGCAAACAGGAUUAGAUACCCCGUGGUAGACUGUCA